UGCUAUACAUGCAAGUCGAACGAGUUCUCGUUGAUGAUCGGUGCUUGCACCGAGAUUCAACAUGGAACGAGUGGCGGACGGGUGAGUAACACGUGGGUAACCUGCCCUUAAGUGGGGGAUAACAUUUGGAAACAGAUGCUAAUACCGCAUAGAUCCAAGAACCGCAUGGUUCUUGGCUGAAAGAUGGCGUAAGCUAUCGCUUUUGGAUGGACCCGCGGCGUAUUAGCUAGUUGGUGAGGUAAUGGCUCACCAAGGCGAUGAUACGUAGCCGAACUGAGAGGUUGAUCGGCCACAUUGGGACUGAGACACGGCCCAAACUCCUACGGGAGGCAGCAGUAGGGAAUCUUCCACAAUGGACGCAAGUCUGAUGGAGCAACGCCGCGUGAGUGAAGAAGGCUUUCGGGUCGUAAAACUCUGUUGUUGGAGAAGAAUGGUCGGCAGAGUAACUGUUGUCGGCGUGACGGUAUCCAACCAGAAAGCCACGGCUAACUACGUGCCAGCAGCCGCGGUAAUACGUAGGUGGCAAGCGUUAUCCGGAUUUAUUGGGCGUAAAGCGAGCGCAGGCGGUUUUUUAAGUCUGAUGUGAAAGCCCUCGGCUUAACCGAGGAAGCGCAUCGGAAACUGGGAAACUUGAGUGCAGAAGAGGACAGUGGAACUCCAUGUGUAGCGGUGAAAUGCGUAGAUAUAUGGAAGAACACCAGUGGCGAAGGCGGCUGUCUGGUCUGUAACUGACGCUGAGGCUCGAAAGCAUGGGUAGCGAACAGGAUUAGAUACCCUGGUAGUCCAUGCCGUAAACGAUGAAUGCUAGGUGUUGGAGGGUUUCCGCCCUUCAGUGCCGCAGCUAACGCAUUAAGCAUUCCGCCUGGGGAGUACGACCGCAAGGUUGAAACUCAAAGGAAUUGACGGGGGCCCGCACAAGCGGUGGAGCAUGUGGUUUAAUUCGAAGCAACGCGAGAACCUUACCAGGUCUUGACAUCUUUUGAUCACCUGAGAGAUCAG
rnacentral:rRNA from 2 species